AAAAUACUCCCUCCGUCCCAAAAUUCUUGUCUUAGAUUUGUCUAGAUAUGGAUGUAUCUAUUCAUGUUUUAGUGUUAGAUACAUCUGUAUCUAGAUAAAUCUAAGACAAGAAUUUUGGGACGGAGGGAGUACUAA
rnacentral:pre_miRNA from 1 species